UACAGAGGUCCCGAGCGUUGUUCGGAUUCACUGGGCGUAAAGGGUGCGUAGGUGGCGGUGUAAGUUUGAUGUGAAAGCUCAGGGCUUAACCCUGAAAUGGCAUUGAAUACUACAUUGCUGGAGGUUUGGAGGGGGGACUGGAAUUCUUGGUGUAGCAGUGAAAUGCGUAGAUAUCAAGAGGAACACCAGUGGCGAAGGCGAGUCCCUGGACAACACCUGACACUGAGGCACGAAAGCCGGGGGAGCAAAC
rnacentral:rRNA from 1 species